rnacentral:rRNA from 1 species
ACGGUGAGUAACACGUAUCCAACCUGCCGUCUACUCUUGGCCAGCCUUCUGAAAGGAAGAUUAAUCCAGGAUGGCAUCAUGAGUUCACAUGUCCGCAUGAUUAAAGGUAUUUUCCGGUAGACGAUGGGGAUGCGUUCCAUUAGAUAGUAGGCGGGGUAACGGCCCACCUAGUCAACGAUGGAUAGGGGUUCUGAGAGGAAGGUCCCCCACAUUGGAGCUGAGACACGGUCCAA